rnacentral:rRNA from 1 species
GUAGUGGCGAAUGAAGCGGGAAAAGCUCAAGUUUGAAAUCUGGCGGGCGACCGUCCAGAGUUGUAAGCUGGAGAGGUGUCGUCGGAUGCGGUCCGGGCUCAAUUUCCUUGGAACAGGAGGUCAUGGAGGGUGAGAACCCCGUAUGUGGCUUGGGUGCCGUGGUCCUUGUGACGUAUCCUCUAAGAGUCGGGUUGUUUGGGAAUGCAGCUCAAAAUGGGUGGUAAAUUUCAUCUAAAGCUAAAUAUUGGUGAGAGACCGAUAGCAAACAAGUAGAGUGAUCGAAAGAUGAAAAGUACUUUGAAAAGAGAGUGAAACAGUACGUGAAAUUGUUGAAAGGGAAGCGUUUGGCAUCAGCCCAUGGCGGCGGUCGAACAUCUGGGCUUCUGCCCAGUGCACUCGGCAGUCGCCGGGCCAGCGUCGGUUCCACCUGCUGGAGAAAGGCCUUGGGGAAGUGGCACUCCCUUGUGGAGUGUGUUAUAACCCAUGGCGUCAUGCGGCUUGGUGGGACC